ACUUUUAGAUGAAACUGCCUGUUUUUUUGUUUUUUUUUUAACUGCCAUUUCAGGUUUGCACCCAGGACUAGCUCAGUCUUCAGUAAAAGAUGCACUGCCAAGAACAGUAGUGGUGAUGGUGGACAGUGAGGAUCAUCUCCUGAUGGUUGGGUGCUCAUCCAAGUGGCACCAGAAAAAUACCCAGCCUUACAGUACUCAGCAAGGCUACUUUCUCCACAUCCUCCCUUUCUCUUCAUAGUCUGGGAAUAAGCACUGCUGUCACUAAUAAAAUAAAUUUUGGAGCUCCGUUGAGGAUAAGCGUCCAUUCAAAAAGCAUGAGCCUUUGGGAGGAGAAGGAAGCAGGAAGCUCCUGUAAGUGCCCAGCGGAUCACAGUCCUGCACACAUCCUUCCCUGAUAUGGCAUGCAGAAAGAGGGAUAUAGAGUGCAGGCAUGAAUCUCUUUUUUCACGUGAAAUGCUAAACUUUCUGAUUAU
rnacentral:lncRNA from 1 species